CAGUUUUCCUGCUUCAUGGAUUAGACGUUUGGUUGCCUGCUUUUCUGCUAAAAGAUCUCAUAGAAGGUCCUGAGGAAGCAAAAUAGAGGGCAAAUAAAUCUUACAUCUUUCACUGGGCUACAGGAUACAAGGCCAGAAUUCAGAGGAUAGCAGGGCACUUUGCAGGAGAAGAGCAGAGAGAAACAGCCUGGCUUUUUCCAAAUACGAAGAAUUGGAGGGUAUCUUUGAAAGUAGCUAUUCAUUUACCACUACAGAGGGUUGAAUGCAUAGCAACAGGAAAAUAUUACAUAUUGCAUGUUCUGACAACAGUAUUUCCAAGACUGAUCACUGCAGUUUCCCUUGAAUGAUGGAUACUACUACCCUCUGUCAGUGA